rnacentral:rRNA from 1 species
ACGAACGCUGGCGGCGUGCUUAACACAUGCAAGUCGAACGGAAAGGCCCUGCUUUUGUGGGGUGCUCGAGUGGCGAACGGGUGAGUAACACGUGAGUAACCUGCCCUUGACUUUGGGAUAACUUCAGGAAACUGGGGCUAAUACCGGAUAGGAGCUCCUGCUGCAUGGUGGGGGUUGGAAAGUUUCGGCGGUUGGGGAUGGACUCGCGGCUUAUCAGCUUGUUGGUGGGGUAGUGGCUUACCUAGGCUUUGACGGGUAGCCGGCCUGAGAGGGUGACCGGCCACAUUGGGACUGAGAUACGGCCCAGACUCCUACGGGAGGCAGCAGUGGGGAAUAUUGCACAAUGGGCGGAAGCCUGAUGCAGCAACGCCGCGUGCGGGAUGACGGCCUUCGGGUUGUAAACCGCUUUCGCCUGUGACGAAGCGUGAGUGACGGUAAUGGGUAAAGAAGCACCGGCUAACUACGUG